CGCACCAUCUUACCACUAUACCACCACUUUCCCCUCCACAGUUAAGCCUGGGUUCCUCUGCUUUUUAAAACAGCCAACACUCAACACAUAUACUGUGCAAAGCCCAUUCUCUCUCCUUCCCUUCUGGCAGGAACUCUCAAACCCAAUCUCUGUUACAAAAACCUCUCUUUGAUCAACCAACUCAUCAUAUCGGCCAAUCAUUGGUUCAGCGUGAUGCUUCUCAAAAGCAAAGAGAACAACUGAAGUCCACCUAAUCUGUGCAAGCAAAAGAUGCUGGAGUGAAAUGAUGCAAACAUUUAUCAUUGAAACCACAAAACAACAUCAACUAACACUGUUCUAUUGACUUUGCAAUAACCCAUAAUCCAUUGGAUACCAUCAUGCACACUCUGGGUACGAGGUAGAGCAGACACUGGUUGCAAUGUCAUCUGAACUCUUCAUUAUUCCUCCCGACUGCUCAGACAAACACUCGUAAGCGUUAACAUUUCCCAUUGCAGACACUAGACAAAUGAAAAGGUGUACUUGAGCACUUAGUACCACAACUGUGCAGUUAUAGCAUACUAAGGAGAGAGAAUCUGAGGUUAUUCCUCUGCAUAGUGGUAGGGCAAAGUAUACUCAGUUUUUCCCUUUUGACUAUUUAACUACUUUUACUUUGUUUGCAUUUGUUUUAAGGGUACAUGCUACCUUAGGGCCUUAGAGCCAAUCACAUCACUGUGAUUGGCUCUAAGGCUGUUUCAGUGCUGUGAUGUGAUUGGCUCUAAGGCUCUAAGGCUGUUUCAGUGCUGUGAUGUGAUUGGCUCUAAGGCUGUUUCAGUGCUGUGAUUGGCUCUAAGGCUGUGAUUGGCUCUCAGGCUGUUUCAGUGCUGUGAUGUGAUUGGCUCUCAGGCUGUUUCAGUGCUGUGAUGUGAUUGGCUCUAAGGCUGUUUCAGUGCUGUGAUGUGAUUGGCUCUAAGGCUGUUUCAGUGCUGUGAUGUGAUUGGCUCUAAGGCUGUUUCAGUGCUGCGAUGUGAUUGGCUCUAAGGCUGUUUCAGUGAUGUGAUUGGCUCUAAGGCUGUUUCAGUGCUGUGAUGUGAUUGGCUCUAAGGCUGUUUCAGUGCUGUGAUUGGCUCUAAGGCUGUUUCAGUGCUGUGAUGUGAUUGGCUCUAAGGCUCUAAGGCUGUUUCAGUGCUGUGAUGUGAUUGGCUCUAAGGCUGUUUCAGUGCUGUGAUGUGAUUGGCUCUAAGGCUCUAAGGCUGUUUCAGUGCUGUGAUGUGAUUGGCUCUAAGGCUGGUUCUGUGAUGUGAUGUGAUUGGCUCUAAGGCUGUUUCAGUGCUGUGAUGUGAUUGGCUCUAAGGCUGUUUCAGUGCUGUGAUGUGAUUGGCUCUAAGGCUGGUUCUGUGAUGUGAUGUGAUUGGCUCUAAGGCUGUUUCAGUGCUGUGAUGUGAUUGGCUCUAAGGCUGUUUCAGUGCUGUGAUGUGAUUGGCUCUAAGGCUGUUUCAGUGCUGUGAUUGGCUCUAAGGCUCUAAGGCUGUUUCAGUGCUGUGAUGUGAUUGGCUCUAAGGCUGUUUCAGUGCUGUGAUUGGCUAUAAGGCUGUUUCAGUACUGUGAUGGGCUCUAAAGCCAGACUGGUCUUCUUGGAUAUUGUUUUUAUGUAGAAACAAAGUCAGUUGCUUUGCUAUUACUUUUUCAAGUAUUUUUGACAAGAAAGGGAGGUUGGAUGAAGGCCUUUAGUUGGCCAUGUUAUCAGGAUCAAGGUUAGGUAUUUUGAGAUGGUUUGAUCACUGCUAUUUUGAAUGAUUGAAUGAAUGAAAAAUAUUUUUGACAGUAUGAUUAUUUAAUAGGGAUUCAAAUCCGAUAAAGUUCUUAUAGUGGGAGAGUUUGACAUCCACACGGACAAUGAAAACAAUAGUCUUACAAUCGCAUGCCAAUCCCUGAUAGACUCUAUUGGGUUUUCCCAACAUGUAAACACGGCCACAGCUUGCUGCAACUACACUAUUGAUCUUGUAUAAACAUAAACAUAUCGUCAUCUGAGAAUUAACAAGGUUAGUCUAACAUGUCCACAAAUCAGAUUGCACCAAAUAAUAUAAAAUAAUAUAAUAUUAUUUAUAAAAAUAAUAUGAAAUAAAAUACUAUGAAAAUAAUUUUCACAUUAGCACGUUCCUACCUCAUGUCGACUAACAGUUAAUGUCACAAAUGUGCUUCACUUUCUCUUCAACACUAUUGCACUACUGAAAAAGAAUAAGAACAUGGUACAGCCGACCAGACCCAUGUACUUAUUAAACAAACUACUUAAGAAAAUAGUACUCCUGUAAACUAGCGGCGUUUCACCUGGCAUGGAAUGAGUUCUUUAUAGUUCACAAGGCUAAUGCCAAAGCAGCCUACUAUUCCUCGUUGAUUGAAAGAUUGGUUUCUCUAUAACACCAUUUCAACAACAAAAAACUACAAAGCAGUCGAACACUCUCUUCCUGUAAGCUCUGGUGGUGAUUGAUUUUAUGACCUUUUUCAAUAACAAAAUUGUGACGGAUAAAAUUCACACCCCGUCCAUGACCCUGUAGUCCUUCCAGGAUGUACUAUGACUACCUCUAUAACACCCCCACACUCUAGUGUACUCCUGGAAUCACCAUGACUAC
ensembl:lncRNA